GUGGGGAAUCUUGCGCAAUGGGCGAAAGCCUGACGCAGCCAUGCCGCGUGAAUGAUGAAGGUCUUAGGAUUGUAAAAUUCUUUCACCGGGGACGAUAAUGACGGUACCCGGAGAAGAAGCUCCGGCUAACUUCGUGCCAGCAGCCGCGGUAAUACGAAGGGGGCUAGCGUUGCUCGGAAUUACUGGGCGUAAAGGGCGCGUAGGCGGACAGCUUAGUCAGAGGUGAAAGCCCAGGGCUCAACCUUGGAAUUGCCUUUGAUACUGGCUGUCUUGAGUUUGGGAGAGGUGAGUGGAACUCCGAGUGUAGAGGUGAAAUUCGUAGAUAUUCGGAAGAACACCAGUGGCGAAGGCGACUCACUGGCCCAAUACUGACGCUGAGGCACGAAAGCGUGGGGAUCAAACAGGAUUAGAUACCCGAGUAGUCC
rnacentral:rRNA from 1 species